rnacentral:rRNA from 1 species
GUUUGAUCCUGGCUCAGAGCGAACGCUGGCGGCGUGCUUAACACAUGCAAGUCGAACGAGUGUAGCAAUACAUUCGUGGCGAACGGGUGCGUAACACGUGGAUAACCUUCCUUCAGGUGGGGAAUAACCCAGUGAAAAUUGGGAUAAUACCGCAUAACAAGACGGGGGCACAUGCUCUUGUCUUCAAAGGCGCAAGUCGCCGGAAGAGGGAUCCGCGGCCGAUUAGCUUGUUGGCGGGGUAACGGCCCACCAAGGCAAUGAUCGGUAUCCGGACUGAGAGGUUGGCCGGACACACUGGAACUGAGACACGGUCCAGACUCCUACGGGAGGCAGCAGUGGGGAAUCUUGCGCAAUGGGCGAAAGCCUGACGCAGCGACGCCGCGUGGGGGAUGAAGCUUCUCGGAGUGUAAACCCCUUUCGACCCGGACGAAACCCCGCAAGGGAUUGACGGUACGGGUAUAAGAAGCCCCGGCUAACUACGUGCCAGCAGCCGCGGUAAAACGUAGGGGGCCAGCGUUGCUCGGAAUUACUGGGCGUAAAGGGUCCGUAGGCGGUGUGGCAAGUCGGUAGUGAAAUCUCUCGGCUUAACUGAGAGGCUGCUGCCGAAACUGCCAUGCUCGAGUGCGAGAGAGGCGAGUGGAAUUACGGGUGUAGCGGUGAAAUGCGUAGAUAUCCGUAGGAACAUCCGAGGCGAAAGCGGCUCGCUGGAUCGCAACUGACGCUGAGGGACGAAAGCUAGGGGAGCAAACAGGAUUAGAUACCCUGGUAGUCCUAGCCCUAAACCAUCACGACUUGGGGUUUGCCCUGUACGGGGCAAGUCCCGGAGCUAACGCGUUAAGUCCUGCGCCUGGGGAGUACGGUCGCAAGGCUGAAACUCAAAGGGAAUUGACGGGGGCCCGCACAAGCGGUGGAACAUGUGGUUCAAUUCGACGCAACGCGAAGAACCUUACCUGGGCUUGAACCGCACAGGACCAUCUUGAGAAAUCAGGACUUCCCGCAAGGGACCUGGUGUAGAAGGUGCUGCAUGGCUGUCGUCAGCUCCUUGGCCGUGAGAGGGUUGGGGUUAAGUUUCGG